rnacentral:rRNA from 1 species
UACAGAGGGGGCAAGCGUUAUUCGGAAUUAUUGGGCGUAAAGGGCGCGUAGGCGGCCUGGCAAGUGGAAGGUGAAAUCCCUCGGCUUAACCGAGGAACUGCCCUCCAAACUGCUUGGCUUGAGUCCGGGAGAGGUGAGUGGAAUUCCCAGUGUAGCGGUGAAAUGCGUAGAUAUUGGGAAGAACACCCGUGGCUAAGGCGGCUCUCUAGUACGGUACUGACGCUGAGACGCGAAAGCGUGGGGAGCGAACAGG